rnacentral:rRNA from 1 species
AUGGCUCGCCGCGCCGACCUCCACCUCGCCGCCCUCGUCGUGCUGCUAGCCGCCGCUCCCGCGCUCUCCGCCGCGGCCGGCACCAUCGUAUUCACCACGCUCGGCCGCACCCGCUACGCCUUCGACGUCUACGCCCUCCCGCUCGCCCCCUCCCUCUCCGCCUCCCCUGCCCCAGAGCUCCGCCUCACCGACGGCGCCUCCGUCAACUACAACGGCAACUUCGCGCCCUCCUCCGCGGCGCUGCUCUUCGUCUCCGAGCGCAACGGAUCCCUCAACGUCUACCUCACCCCCGCCCCGCCCUCCUCCUCCUCUGCCUCCCGCCGCGAGGCGCUCGAGGAGGAGAACUCGGCGCCCCCGACGCCGCUGCUGCCCUGGGACCCCGUCGCGCUGCGGGACCGCCCGGCGCUCACCCGCGACGGCUCCCGCCUCGUCUACGUCUCCACCGCGGCCCCCGCGCCCGCCCCGCGCCGGAGCUGGGCGGCCGUCUACGCCACCCACCUCCCCUCCGGCCGGGCCACCCGGCUCACCCCGCCCGGCGUCGCCGACUUCAGCCCCGCCCUCUCGCCCUCGGGGGACUGGACCGCCGCCGCCUCCCCCGGCGAGGCCGGCUGGGCCGGCGAGGUGCAGGACCUCCGCACCGACGUCUACGUCUUCCGGACCGACGACGGCUCCCGGCGCAAGCUGCUCGUCAAAGACGGCGGCUGGCCCUGCUGGGCCGACGACGCCACGCUCUUCUUCCACCGCCGGGACAGCGACGGCUGGUACGGCGUGUACCGCGCCAAGAUCGAGGUCUCCGAUGACGGGCUCCUGGCGGCGGCCUCGUCCGUGGAGCGGGUCACCCCGCCGGGGUUCCACGCCUUCACGCCCGCGGCGUCGCCCGGCGCGCCGGGGCUCGUCGCGGUGGCCACCAGGCGACCCGGCUCCGACUACCGGCACAUCGAGGUGAUCGAUCUGACCAGCGGCGCCAACAACGCCGCCUACUUCGAGGUCACCAGGCCCGUGGCGCCGCGGGCGCACCACUUCAACCCGUUCGUCUCGCCGGACGGCGCGCGCGUCGGGUACCACCGGUGCCGGGGCAGCGGGAACGGGGACUCGCCGCUGCUGCUGGAGAGCCUCAAGAGCCCGGCGCCGGAGUCGCUGUUCAGGAUCGACGGGUCGUACCCUUCCUUCUCGCCCGACGGCAAGAGGAUCGCCUUCGUGGGGCUGCCGGGGCUGUACGUGGUGAACUCCGACGGCUCCGGCGGCCGCCGCAAGAUCUUCUCCGGGAACGCGUUCCCCACGUCGUGGGACUGGAAGAGGAAAGGGGUGAUCUACACCAGCAUCGGGCCGGACUUCGCGAGCGAGGGCACGGAGGUGGACGUGGUGGCCGUGUCCCUCGGCGACGAGGACGACGGCGGCGGCGGCGGCGUCUCUCAGAUUUCCAUCAAGAAGCUCACAAUCGGAGGCGAGAACAACGCGUUCCCGUCGCCGUCGCCGGACGGCAAGUGGCUGGUGUUCCGGUCGGGGAGGUCCGGGCACAAGAACCUGUACAUCAUGGACGCGGAGGACGGCGAGGCCGGCGGCAUCCGGCGCCUGACGGACGGCCCAUGGACCGACACCAUGUGCAACUGGUCGCCGGACGGCGAGUGGAUCGCCUUCGCCUCCGACCGGCACAACCCGGGCGGCGGCAGCUUCGCCAUCUACAUGAUCCACCCGAACGGCACCGGGCUGCGGCGGGUGGUGCACAGCGCCGACGGCGGCAGGACGAACCACCCCUGGUUCAGCCCGGACUCCAAGCGCAUGGUGUUCACCUCGGACCUCGCCGCCGUGUCCGCCGAGCCCAUUUCGAACCCGCACCACUAUCAGCCCUACGGCGAGAUCUUCACCAUCAACAUCGACGGCUCGGGGCUCCAGCGGCUCACGCACAACUCGUUCGAGGACGGCACGCCGUCGUGGACGGCGCAGUUCCUCGAGCCCCGGGACGUCGGGGAGACGCUGCGAGCCUCCGGGAGCUGCGAGUUCCAGGACUGCCACUGGCUCAGCAUAGAGGACGAUGCCCAGCCUGCACAUUAUGGCCUUCGCUAUGCCCAUGGCAACAAGAAGAUCGGCUGCUAG